UACGUAGGGUGCAAGCGUUGUCCGGAAUUAUUGGGCGUAAAGAGCUCGUAGGCGGUUUGUUGCGUCGGCUGUGAAAUCCCGAGGCUCAACCUCGGGUCUGCAGUCGAUACGAGCAAACUAGAGUGUUGCAGGGGAGACUGGAAUCCCUGGUGUAGCGGUGAAAUGCGCAGAUAUCAGGAGGAACACCGGUGGCGAAGGCGGGUCUCUGGGCAACAACUGACGCUGAGGAGCGAAAGCGUGGGGAGCGAACAGG
rnacentral:rRNA from 1 species